rnacentral:lncRNA from 1 species
AACUGAGUGACCUGAAAAUUUGACUUUUUACUUCCCUAAGUUAAUUUAAAAUGUCCUGAUUAUAGGUAUUUUGUAAGGUUGCCACUGUAGAAAACUGAAAUUGGAAAUCUUGCUAUUUUUAGAAAUUACGAGAGGUUUCUGAACAUUUAAUUUGAUUGGUGUUGCUAAUAACUGUUGAUGAAAGUAUAAUUGUGGACUUUGUCAUGCAGUUUAUUUCAGAUUAUGAACAGAUGGGCCAAGAAGAAGAGAAAUAACAAAAUCAACCAAUAGCUAGACAUUUUGCUUCGUUUCAAAGCAUUACUCCAUAACAGGGCUUUGGCACACGCUUCCUAACAUCUUCAUUGAGAGUUUACCUGAUGAAGCAUUACUGAUGCUGCUACCACCCCAUGGAGACUUGUUGGAAGAUGCCAUGGCUGCUACUGCCUAACUGAAGAUUGCCAAUGAAGAACAGUAUUCUCCUACUGGAUUUGGGAUCCCACGGUAAACCACAGUUUGUGUCUGGGGCACUUUUCUAUUCAGCUUUCUUAGUCCACAGGCCAAAAGCACAUAAACCCGGGUCAAUCCAGCUCCUUAGAAAGUGUUGCCCACAGUGACUGCCCUUGACCCUGAAGUCUGGUUUUCCAACUGUCUGUAGACGCUGCUCUUUGUGUUCCUGCGUGACCUUUGGAGCCCAUGCUGCUAUUGAGAGCCCACCCAACUCCUCCACUCUACGCUCUGCUCACGUGCUGAUAAUAAUCCCUGAGGAACCAUUCCCUUUCUUUCACCUAAAUUAGAUAAAAUCUAGAGGACUAUGGGAAAUGUUAAAAAUGACAUUAGCUCUGGCCUGUUUUCUUUUUUUUCUUUUGGGAGUAGAAAACAAAAGGUGUGAAUGUGUACUGUACAAAAAGAAGGAAGAAGAGUUUAAAUGAGUUAUUAAGGCCUCUGACUUUGUACCCUAAGAAGUGGCACCACAGCUCAUCUGAGAUACGAGAGGGAAGAGGCCUGAAAUAAGUUAAUUUGCAUAACAUGAAACAGUAAUAUCUCAGACAGAUUUGUAACUAACAUUACCACAUAAAUGAAGGCCUGGGUUUAUAUCUCACUC